rnacentral:rRNA from 1 species
UACGACCCGAAAGUAAAGUUCGGUAUUAAUACCACCAUAGUAUGAUGAGGAGGCAUCUCUUAUCAUUAAAGUUCCGACAGUUAAAGAUGAGCAUGCGUGACAUUAGCUAGUUGGUGAGGUAACGGCUCACCAAGGCCACGAUGCCUAGGGGAUCUGAGAGGACUUAACCCCCACACUGGUACUGAGACAGGGACCAGACUCCUACGGGAGGCAGCAGUAAGGAAUAUUGGACAAUGGUGGCAACACUGAUCCAGCCAUGCCGCGUGAAGGAUGAAGGCCCUAUGGGUUGUAAACUUCUUUUGUACGGGAAAAAACCUUCUUACGUGUAAGAAGCUGAUUGUACUGUAAGAAUAAGGAUCGGCUAACUCCGUG